UGCAGCAUGGCAUAGCGGUUGGAGCACUGGACUAUGACUCUGGAGACCAGGGUUCGAAUCCCAGCUCAGCCA